GAUGUUUCCUCUUUACCCAUCACUACUUGGCAGGAAAGAAUCUUGAUUUCGACAAAUAUUGGUGUUGGCGGCGCUUCGAUAUGGAGAAGACUUUGAAAGAGCAGAACAGCAAUGUUGCCUGUCAAAAGAAAGAAGGUACGGUCCCAAAUAAGCGGAAGAAAUAUGGACAAUCUUCUGUAUGGAACUAUUUUGACAAAUCGGCUGAUGGCAAGACAGCCAAGUGCAUAAAAUGUGGUAAAACCUACCAAACAAGCGGCAAUACGACAAACUUAUCUUGCCACUUAAAAGCCAUUUAUCCGACUUUAACAAUAAGCGAAUUGCCACAAAGACAGACGCCCUCAAUUCUGUCAUUCAUUGACUAAAAAUACGAACCGUCGUCGAACCGCAAAUAAAAAUUGGACAGUGCCUUAUGCUACUACGUUACCUCAGACUUGCGCCCUUUUUCAGUGGUGGAAAAUAAAGGCUUCCGCAAUUUUGUAAGCCUCCUUGAACCAAGGUAUGAAUUGCCUUCACGGACCACCUUAAGAAAUGUUUCGAUGGCAAAUGCAUACAAUGAAAAGAAGGCCAAAUUGUGCGCCUUUUUAAAAAACAUAAAGCACUGUGCAAUCACUUCAGAUUGCUGGACCUCCAGGACCAACGAGUGCUACGUUACUGUGACGUGCCAUUUUAUAAUAGAGGAUUUCCAAUUGCGCAACGCUGUUUUGUCCACUGAAAAGCUCCUCGACGAAACGAGCCAUUCUUCUGAAAAUAUUGCAAACUCUAUACGCACAGUACUCGAGGAAUGGAGAGUUUUAGGAAAGGUCACUGCAAUGGUCACUCGCUAACGCCGAGAUACUGCAAAUAAGACAUAUUCCAUGCUUUGCGCAUUCAAUCAAUUUGACUGUCCAGGACUGUUUGGCUACAGAAAAAGUUAAGCCCAUUCUUGAAAAGUGUAAGCGCAUUGUUUCGUUUUUUAAAAGUAGCACAAUUGCGUAUGCCAAGUUUAAAGAGGCCCAGGAACGCGAACGUCCUUAUAGUUUAAAGCAAGAAUGUCCUACAAGAUGGAACAGCGCCUAUUAUAUGGUGGACUGAAUUUUUGGAUACAAAGGUUGCCAUCGCAAGUGUGCUACUAAACACGCCCAAAUGGUUAAUGCCGCUAACAUCUGAUGAAAUAUCCAUUCUGUAGGAUUUAAAGGCAAUACCUUUACCUUUUGAGCAUGCAACGGUACACACAUCUUCGAGUACUUCUGUGACAGUGUCUUCAGUGAUUCCGGUUGUUUGUGGCAUUUUACACAAUCUGACAGGCAUGAAAACUAAACUCCAGACUAAGGUGUGUCAAGAUGUCUGUGAUGACAUACUUCAAGGGGUCAAUAAAAGAGUGGUCCCCUAUGAAAAUCGUACGGUAACACGAAUGACCACAAUUUUAGACCCUCGCUUCAAAAAGGAGGGAUUUUGGAAUCCAUUUAAUUUCUCCCAAGGGGUUAAAUCGUUGGAGGAUGAUCUGUCGCUCAUAAAUGCUCCAACAAAAUCCUCUGCAUUUUCAAGCCCGCCAACACCAGAAUCCACAGCAGAGUCCAACCUAUUAUUCAGUUUUUUACAAACUAAUCAAACUCAAAAAAUUCAAAGCGGUCGCGUGGAUUCCAUAUUGGAUUUGCGAAAAUACUUGAAUGCGAUUAAUUUGGACCCUGCCCAAAACCCUUUGGAUUAUUGGAAGAUAUCAAAUGACGCCGGAUUCAAAACAUGCGUUUUUAAAUACUUCUGCGUACCGGCCACCUCUACUGAAAGUGAGAGGAUGUUCAGUAAAGCUGGACUAGUUGUUAGCGAGAAGAGAAGCUCGCUAAAACCAAAAAAUGUCAAUAUGAUUUUAUUUCUAAACAAAAAUAAUUGGAUAAUUUAGUUUUAGUUAUGUUACUUUUUUCUUAUUUUUUUGAGAAGAACUUGAUAUUGUUAUUUAUUUUAUUUUUAAUUGAAUUGUGAUUUAAUUUUAAUUUUUGUGUUGAACGAGUAGUUUAAGUUUCACCUUGAAUUUGCAGGAAACAAAAACAGAAAACAAUGGAUCUCAAGUAAAGCAUAAUUUUUUUAUAAUGAA